ACAUCUUCUGCAUUACACACUACAUCCUCUUCUGAUCCUGCUGCUAAUACAAUGAGUGAAAAUAACUUAUUGGAGCAAUUUAUAGCUAUUGCCACUAGUGAUGUUAGCGAAGCAAAUGAUAUCGAAUAUGUAUCUGCUGACGAUGAUAAUCUCAUGGAAGAUGACGAUUCAGAUGAAGACAUGUUUUAUUACUUUGAAGACGAUGUAUCCCUCGAAUCGGAUGAGCCAGAUGAUUCAUUUUAUGACGAUGAAAUAUUUUAAUUGAAAUCUAGAGAAAUUGGAAUAAUAACGAGAACCAAUAAAAGAUAUAAUUAUUUUGAAAUUUU